GGCGUGCUUAACACAUGCAAGUCGAACCUUUAGCUUAAACGGAUUUCUUCGGAUUGAAGUUUUUGUGACUGAGUGGCGGACGGGUGAGUAACGCGUGGGUAACCUGCCUCGUACAGGGGGAUAACAGUUAGAAAUGACUGCUAAUACCGCAUAAGCGCACAGUGCUGCAUGGCACAGUGUGAAAAACUCCGGUGGUAUGAGAUGGACCCGCGUCUGAUUAGCUGGUUGGCGGGGUAAUGGCCUACCAAGGCGACGAUCAGUAGCCGGCCUGAGAGGGUGAACGGCCACAUUGGGACUGAGACACGGCCCAAACUCCUACGGGAGGCAGCAGUGGGGAAUAUUGCACAAUGGGGGAAACCCUGAUGCAGCGACGCCGCGUGAGCGAAGAAGUAUUUCGGUAUGUAAAGCUCUAUCAGCAGGGAAGAAAAUGACGGUACCUGACUAAGAAGCACCGGCUAAAUACGUGCCAGCAGCCGCGGUAAUACGUAUGGUGCAAGCGUUAUCCGGAUUUACUGGGUGUAAAGGGAGCGUAGACGGUUGUGUAAGUCUGAUGUGAAAGCCCGGGGCUCAACCCCGGGACUGCAUUGGAAACUAUGUAACUAGAGUGUCGGAGAGGUAAGCGGAAUUCCUAGUGUAGCGGUGAAAUGCGUAUAUAUUAGGAGGAACACCAGUGGCGAAGGCGGCUUACUGGACGAUCACUGACG
rnacentral:rRNA from 1 species